rnacentral:miRNA from 12 species
UGCUCUUGUGGCUUCCAUGCAGAAGUGCACAGAAACAGCUAUUUGUGAUUGAGAAGUUGGCUGUUACUGUUCUUCUGAUGGAUGCUGCUGGAUUCU